UACGUAGGGGGCAAGCGUUGUCCGGAAUCAUUGGGCGUAAAGCGCGUGUAGGCGGCCCGAUAAGUCCGCUGUGAAAGUCCAGGGCUCAACCCUGGGAUGCCGGUGGAUACUGUCGGGCUCGAGUCCGGAAGAGGCGAGUGGAAUUCCUGGUGUAGCGGUGAAAUGCGCAGAUAUCAGGAGGAACACCAAUGGCGAAGGCAGCUCGCUGGGACGUGACUGACGCUGAGACGCGAAAGCUAGGGGAGCGAACAGG
rnacentral:rRNA from 1 species